UGCAGUGCGGCGUGUCUUAGGCAUGCAGUCGAGCGGCAAGGGCAGCAAUGCCCCUAGAGCGGCGGACUGGUGAGUAACGCGUGGGUGAUCUGCCUCGGGGUUGGGGAUAGCCAUUAGAAAUAGUGGGUAAUACCGAAUACGCUCCAUUGGCUGCGGCCAGUGGAGGAAAGGCGCUACGGCGCCGACCUGAGAUGAGCCCGCGUCCCAUUAGCUAGUUGGUGAGGUAACGGCCCACCAAGGCUAUGAUGGGUAGGCGGCCUGAGAGGGUGUACGCCCACAUUGGGACUGAGAUACGGCCCAAACUCCUACGGGAGGCAGCAGCUAAGAAUAUUCCGCAAUGGACGAAAGUCUGACGGAGCGACGCCGCGUGGAUGAUGAAGGCCGGAAGGUUGUAAAAUCCUUUUGUCGGGGAAGAAUAAGCAUGGGAGGGAAUGCCCGUGUGAUGACAUGAACCGGCGAAUAAGCCCCGGCUAACUACGUGCCAGCAGCCGCGGUAACACGUAGGGGGCGAGCGUUGUUCGGAAUUACUGGGCGUAAAGGGCAUGUAGGCGGUUUUGUAAGCCUGACGUGAAAGGCUAUGGCUCAACCAUGGCACUGCGUUGGGAACUGCGAGACUUGAAUCAUGGAGAGGGAGCUGGAAUUCCAGGUGUAGGGGUGAAAUCUGUAGAUAUCUGGAAGAACACCAGUGGCGAAGGCGAGCUCCUGGCCAAUGAUUGACGCUGAGGUGCGAAAGUGUGGGGAUCAAACAGGAUUAGAGACCCUGGUAGUCCACACUGUCAACGAUGUGCACUAGGUGCUGGGGCGGACGCUUCAGUGCCGGAGCUAACGCGGUAAGUGCACCGCCUGGGGAGUAUGCUCGCAAGGGUGAAACUCAAAGGAAUUGACGGGGGCCCGCACAAGCGGUGGAGCAUGUGGUUUAAUUCGAUGGUACACGAGGAACCUUACCUGGGUUUGACAUGCACAGGAAUACGGCAGAGAUGUCGUAGUCCCGCAAGGGAUCUGUGAACAGUGCUGCAUGGCUGUCGUCAGCUCGUGCCGUGAGGUGUGGGUUAGUCCCGCAACGAGCGCAACCCCUACUGCCAGUUACUAACAGGUAAUGCUGAGGACUCUGGCCGGAAC
rnacentral:rRNA from 1 species